AAGGCUUCAGCUGAAGGGGAGGGGCUCUGAAUCCACCAGAGGCUCCAUUAAUAGCCAACUCUCCAUCCUAACUAUUAUCCCGCAUAAAGUGUUUAUAAAAGGGAACACAACUGGGCUAAUGUUGGCUCAAAUCAGACAGGAUGAUAUAGGCUACCAGAGAGAGAGAGAGAGAGAGAGAGAGAGAGCGAGGGGAGUAAGAGAAAAGAGAGAGAGGGGAUUUAAAGUUUUCCUCCUUUUUUAACAGGACUGGCUAAAAAGAACAUCAAACCCCUCUUUUGAGUCUGGCUAAACCCGGAUAAAAGUGGAUUACAAACUUUCAGGAAAACCCUCCAGCCAGUUCAGGUUGAAGAGAGAAAGGUGAGUUUCUUGUUUUACCUCUUAAACUUCACUGUAGUGUCUCCUCGUAACACACAGCUUUGAGGUUGAGUUUUCACGCACUCCUUACUGUCUGCAUAAGCUGAUAUUGUGCGCACAGAUUGAAGGUGUUCGGGGUCGGUUGUUAUUCAGUCAAAGACAGACCAAGGACCGCCCCAACAUCUGUCCGUCCCUGUCUGUCAGAGCGGCCCGCGCGCUGAUUGAUGGAGCCCACUUACGUCACCACUAUUUCCAUCCACGAGGACAGCAGACAGGAAGAGCUGCAGCUUCUAAAUGAGCACUUAUUAGCUUUAAAGUAUGCACGAUUAAUUUCUAUACAAAUACAGCAAAUAAACAGUCCGCAUGUCAAAUGAAAACUGCUCUUUUAACUUGGGCUCUGACGCACUUUUGAAAAGUGUUGUUGCACUUUUUAAAUGAUGUUUUCUACUGCAAAGUCAGAUGCAACUGAACAGUGCAGGACCAUGUUAUAACGCAUCUGAAUCUUGACAUUACUGUGUGCAUAUCAGCUCAUGUGCAGCCCUGUAAACAAUUUAUUUUAGGACUUAGAAAAUAAACUAUAAAAAGUGCAGUUAGGAAAAUAAGACAUAACCCGUAAGACUCAAAUUGCAUAAUUUUGCUCUCUUCCUUGCUCCAAAGCUGAUUUUAAUGUAGAACUGCAUGACUAAAAACUAGAAACAAAAAUGAACCCACUUUUUACAAUUCAUGAUUUACUUUUAAUGCAGAAAUGGGAGUUUUUCUGUCCUGGUUUUUAGAGUAAGGCGCCUGUUUUGCUCACACACACACAAACACACACACACACACACACACACACACACACACACACACACACACACACACACACACACACACACACAGAGCAUUGACAGCAAAGCAGCUUGUGCAGGGUCUGAUCCUGGACCAGCAGGGGGGGACAUGUGGCUCAAGAGUCAGGUAUACAGUCUGUCCAUGCUUCAAGAUAACUCUAAGUGCACUGAUAUGUAUAUAUUUUUAUGUAUCUUUUAACUCAAAAUCACGUUUUUUAUUUCAAUGAGCAUCAUUUGACACACACUCACUGCAGUUUUUGGAUAUUAUUUGUCUUAAAAAGUGUAUAAAAUUUCUCUCCUUCUCCUUACAAGUCGCAGAAAUAACACUAAUUUUUGUAUAGCAGACAGGACUUGCUACACUGUCCUUUCAGCCUCAUGACACAGUCUAUAUUAACAAUGUCUUCGGUUCACAUUUACUUCUAAUUUCCAGCAGCAGCCAUGUGUGAUCAGGGCGUUAUGAUCCAAAUUGCUCGCUACAGUAGUCACAUUCCCCGUAAUGCCACCACCCGUGUCCGUGUUCAUGUAAGACAAAAGCUGAACACACAAACAGUUGUUUCCCUCCCAGCCCCCAGCAUGUAUACAUGAAGCCCCUCUCCCACAUACUGAGGCAUUGUGACAGCGUGAUGACAUGUCAGCCUGUUUCCUUCUCUGCUGUGUGACGAUCCUCAAACAGACAUCAUGCAUGUAGUCCUCGAGUAUAUUUACAUACAUUAUUUUCCACUUCUCUUUGUCUUUUUUCAGGUCUGACUGUAGGAUCUGAGGGACAAUUGUUUGAGAAAUAAUCAGGGUGAUUCUGCAGAAGAGCCAAAUAAGGUGAGGGACUUUGAAAAGUUUGGAAACUAAAUCAUAGCACAAACACUUCACUUGGAAAAAAAAUUGACAUAAAAUGCUAACAUGGUGUUCCCAUGAGAAUACAACUAAAUACUGUGAAGAAUAUGACACCGUUUAAUGCGGCAAUCUUGCAAACUGGUGUGAUUAAAUAGGAGUUAGAUGCAAUUUUGAUUACACCUGCAUGCAAAAUAUGAAUGAUGCAUAUAAUAGCAGGUGUGUUUUCAACACUUUGAAUGUGCCAAUUAAAUAUUCAAAUAUUUUGUUGAUAAUUUAAUGAAAAAUAAAAUUCAAAUCAAAUAUGGUCCUCGAGGUUAGUGUGUUCUCAUUUUGUCGAGAUUUUUGCACGAUCUUUGCACAUCAAAAACAAAACAUGCAGCGUCUUUUCUAUUUUUUGUCACAUUUAGUUUUAUUUAAGUGCAGCACCUUAACUAGUUUAAUCACCACUGCUGCUAAAUCCUUUUGCAGGAACCAUUACAGCAAACUUACACACUGCAUCGUGACUUUCUGUCCUUGUUUGACACCUGCGCACAUGUUGAAAAACAGCUCUGAUGCUGCAGAGAGAAGUUUUUUCAAUAUUAAAAAAUAUAAUGCAUCAAAUUUAGGUCAUUGUCAGUUUGUUUGAUUUAACAAAAUUGAUACAUUUCAGUCACUUGCAAAGAUGCAUUUUGAAUUCUCUAAGUUGUACUGAAUUGGAUCAAGUAAAAUCAUCAUGACAUAAACCGAGAUUUUAAUGCCUACCUCUUAACAUUCAUGAAUUAUUAAUGCUGUGCUGCAUAUUUUGGCCUGUGGCUAACCACAUGAGUUAUUUUGCUGCCGUAAACCUCUGAUGUCAAAAGGUACGAGCUCCCCAGGCGUGCAAGCACCACACGUUUUCUGUAAGUGGUCUUUGGUAUUUAACGUCUUUGUCUGACAGAACUCCUCUUCUUCGAUAUUUUAAUGUUUGCAGUAUCUAGAAAAAAAAAUCCUUUUCCCUCAGUGUCAAUUUCAAAGAAGUGAGAUCUGUACGAUUGCGAUAAUACUUCUCUUCAUAAUCUGGAGUAAUCUUCAAUCAAUGAUAGGUCCUAUCAGAUUCUGCAGACUCAUUGACAGCCUGAAUAUAAGAAUAUAUCAUAAGAAAUUAAUAAAGAAGAAGCUCUAACUUUGACAUGAGCUAUAUCUCUACAUCGCACAGAUAAGACUGCAUAAUUAAAAUGCCAAGAGUGAGUGUGCAGAGAGAAAGAGUGAGAGGGGUUUGAUAUUUUAUAGAGAUUUACUUUAGAUUUUAAAGAGAAAAAAAUGUGUUGCUGUACUUUUGACAAUGCAAUUAAAGGUUUGUAAUCCCCACCUGAGUUUUUUAUUUUAUUUUGUCAGUUUGGGCGAAGGAUGUGCUGAAAUGCUGUGCAGCCGAGACAGAUGCAGGUUUAUUAAAGGGCUGAAGUCUCACAGGGAUCUGCUGUUAUUUUUCAGCAUUGAGAAGCUGAAAGCAGAGGGGAAACUUCAGCUUGUUUACAUGAACUGUGAAAUAAUUGUUCAGCUGAGUACAUACAGAGCAUCAAGAAGCAAAGAAAGCUUUUAUUCUCUGCCAAAAAAAAGGCCAAACUUUUCCGAGAUUUCCUGCACCCUCGCUAAAUAUCUCCCCCAACUCGGCGAAAUAAAGUGACAUAUUUCAUAUCUCAGAAACACCAGCCUCCCUGACAUGCACGCUCCUUCCCUCUCCUCCUCCCUCUGCCUUUUGUUUUCUCUGACACGUGCUCUCCAAUUAGCAUUUUUCAGCCAUUAAGGAGGAGAGAGAAGCAGCCAAAUGUUUGUCUCACCAAGAUCCUUUUUCCCCCUACAAGACUCUCUGAGCCAAUGUUCAGAAAAAUAAAUUAAUAAAACAGCAAGACAGACUCAAUAUUAUCCUCAAUGUUAACAUGAUCUUCUUCACAUAACAAUUACCCAAAGCUUUGUGUGGGAAAGUGACGUGACAAAGCAGCCAGCGUUUACGAGAGCUGAUGACAGUCUGCGUUUGGAGCAAUUAAAAUGAUUAAAAUUAGUUCUUAUGAGAGAACACAAGAACUAGGAUUAUUUUCUUCCUCUGUGACAUCCACUUAAACAUUUUCAUUUUGUAAAUAUUUCCACUCCUCAGAUAAAGAAAUAGAUAUGCGUGCACAAAAGGAGUUUUCUCCAACCUUUUGUGUCUCCUGAGGAUUACAUGCAAAAACUGAAUCGCUCUGUGUGGUUUUUUGGUGAAGCUGCAGUUAGAAGUCGAGAUUUUUUGCCAUCAGUCCUCUUACAUGUCAAAUUAGCACGUCCUAAUCUUCAGCUGUAUUCCUACAUUUAAAUCUGCAAAUCCCAAACUGCUCAGAUCCUCUGCUGCAGACUGUAGCAGCAGAAAUCUGUCACUGCUGCUGUGCUGUACAUUAAGGGUGAAAAUGCCUCUAAAAAGGUGCUUUUGUGACAUUAAAAUGACUUGUGUGCACAGCGCAUGUCGAUGCGUGUACUUUGAGGCGUAUAUUUAUGAAUAGGAACCUUUAAUUAGGGCUUGUGUUUCCUCCCUAGUCAAAUUGAGGGAUGGUCCUCGCCGACAUUCAUUAAUGAUAAUCACCAAGAGCGAUGGCGUAGCUACAGGCCAAGUCUCAGGGGAGCCGACACUUGAAAAGAAGCAUUAAAUUACACAGAGGGACUCUUUAAUUGCAAAAAGGAAAAUAUAUAGCCAUCAUUGUUAAAUAUGAUCUUUUGUAAGCCGUUACUGGUUCAAGGAUUUGUCUAAGGUUUGCUUAUCCUCAAACGCUUUCAAAGGAACCUGCAGCUACAUUUCAGCGAGUAAUGCACCACAGGGCCCUUUUUGAAAACACUUACUGUUACCCUGAUGGGUUUCUUUCUGCACACCAAGCAAAAGCUGCACGAUUUAUAUGUUCCCACUUUUUCAUAGAUUUCACAGGAAAUCAAAUACUAGAUGUAUGUCAAACUAGAUCCACAGUUAAAAAUGCGAUUAAAAAAAAAAAGAUUAUCUGCAGGUAGUUUGGAAAUAAAGUAACUGGUUAAUUGAGCCUUGGUCUGUUUGACACAUACAGGCUUUUGGUUCCGCUAUCACAUAUUGGUGUUACUGAAGCUGUGUGAUAUCAGACGGGACCCAAUGCACAAGUUUUACAGCUUUGGGAACAAUAAACUUGAAAAAUAAAAAGGUGAUAAUUAUCUAAGCCGGAUAACUUUACUGAAUAAUAACACCGGGCUUUCAUGAAAAAAUGUUCAUAUUUCACCAUGCUUACAUUCAGAAUGUCUAUGCUUACAUUCUGUAAUCAUAGAGGCUGAUGUAAAAGGACAACGUCAGAGCAGGAUGGUUUAAUGUUUAAGGGUCAAUAACAAACUAUAAGUGAGAACUAGGGCCAACAGGAUUGUAUUUGAAGUUCUGACAUUAAAAUGUCAAAAUUCUGUGAAGAAGGUCAGAAUUUUAAUCUCAUAUUCUAAGAUCAUCUAAGAUCUUCUAAGAUCAUAGUCAGAAUUCUCAGAUUAGAGCCAGAAUUCUAGGCUUUAAAUCAGAAAUUUGGAUUGAAUCAGAGUUCUAAAUUAACCCCUGAGAAUUUUAAGAUUCAGGUCCACAUUUGAGGAAAUUCUGAGAUUUGAGUCAGUCUUCUGACUUUUAAAGUUAGAGUCCUGGAAAUGAAUUCAAAACUUUGAUUUUUCUAAAGACUUCUAUGAAUUACACCAGAAUUGUGGAAUGAAAAGCAGAAUACUGAAUUCUAAGAGUCAGAAUGCAGAAGUUUAUGUCAAAGUUCUGGGAUUAAAGUCAGAAUUCAAAGAUCAGAGUAAAAAAAUCUAAAGUUAAACUCAGUUUCCUGACUUUUAUCUAAAAGUUCCAAGAACAAAAUCAGAUCUCACAAUUUUGUCUUUGAUCCUAAAAUUCUAAAUCAGGACAUAAAAAAAUUCAGCAGUGACGCUGAUCCUAUCACUGACAAAACUGUGCGAUAGCCACCGAGAUAGACUUAGGUUUCUGAUCAUAUUUAGCUGUUGCUACAUACCUUAUUUAUUCACAUAUUUGGUUUGAUUUGCCCCGCUGUCACACUGAAUCUUUUGUCCUAUGGCUAAGGUGAAGGAGUUAAAGACAGACUGAAUUACUUGAAGUUGAGAGCUGCUCUUUGGGAAAUAGAUGGGCUGAAUACACACAGUUGCGCUCAUACACUCCUAAAACUCCUGACCUAAUUGCUCGUUCUCACUCAACUAAUUAAUCACAGCUGACGUAACAUAGUGACAAGGUUAGGUAGGUGACAUUCCCCAAAAACUACCUCUCUUUCUGCAUAUUCCUCACGGCAGGACUUUUUCAGCUUACUGCCUUGUCCUUGCUUUUUUCUAUUUCAUGUAUUUUUUUAUUCUACUUCCCCUCCUCUUCUUCCUCCUCUCUCUCUCUCUCUCUCUCACUCACUCACUCCCUCUCUUUUCUGUCUUUCAUUGCUUCAUUUGCCCAGUCCUCAUUUUUCCCCCCUCACUUAUUCUUGUCUUUCUUGUCUUCAAAUCGCACUUUUUUUCUGUUUUUCUCUCUCGUUUGAAUCCAAGUGGGGAGCAUAACUUAGCUCACAUCUAUUUUUACCUGUUAUCAGGUCUCGUGUUGGAGGAGGGGGGUCUUUGCAGAGGUGAGAGUGGGCAUGCUAGGAGAGAAGGAGGGUUUGGGGCGGGGUCACAAUGCUUCAUUAAUCAAAAAGAAUGACACUCAUGUCGUCCCUGACAACCAUCCUGCCAGCCUCAUGUCUCUCCCCUCCUCCUUCAUCCCACUCAAACAGGACAAGUUUAGUGGCAGGGAGGGAGGGGGAGAACGAAAGAAGGAGAGAGAGAGAGGGGGAAGGGGGGUUUAUUAAUCAAGCAUCUCAGAUUAAUUGUUAUGAAGUGUCAACUGUAAAUUCUCCAUUUGGAUUUAAUAAUCUUGGAGGUAGACUUAACAAUCUCUGUCGUGAUUUGAGUUUUAUUGAAGAGGCUGCGUAAAGGAGGGAGAAAGGGAGAGAGAUGUAUGACACAAAUAGCUUCUCAGCGGACAGUCCCUCUCUGUGUGACAGUUAUGAAAUACAAUUAUCAGCCAGAUCUGCUUAAGAAUUCAUCAACUGCACCCCUGCUUUCCAAAGAGAGAAAAAAACCCUACAUACAAAAGCUAGUCUUAACUGAUAAGACUCCUCUUUUCUCUGCAGCCCUUAAACUAUCAUUUCAAUUUCUCGCCAUCUCCGACAUGUUAAGUCGCUGUAAAGGUGCUCUAUAUUGCUUUGAAAGGCCCUCACGCUGUAUAUUAAAGCAUAAAUCACCAGGUAAUCAGGGAAUAUGGUAAAUGACACACUGCAUGCAAAUCAGCCUGAUAGUGAGUAGUUUGUUUGAAAUGUAUUACCCGUUGCUUUGCAUCAGGGUCAGUAAUAGCAGUUAAUCUCCUUCGGCGGUGAAAAUAUACUGUCACCGAAUCGUACGGCGCCCUGUCAGCGCUCAAAAGUAACCGAAUCAUAAAACGCAAAUGAUUUCAAUCAAUUGUCGUCUAAUUGCAGUCAUAUCUUUUGAAAUAAACGAAGAACAGCCACUAUGUAGGUUGACAGUGUGCAUAAAAUUAGCAUAGCUUAGCAUAUUGCAACAGCAUUAAUGUUAGUUUUAUUGAAAGCUCAGGUUCUCCUGAUAUUUCAUAUUUUGGCAUGCUACUCUUAAAGGAACAAGAACAAAAUGAGCCACCUGAAAAUGACAGAACUGGAAACUUUCAUUAAGAUGUUUUAACCAAACAGGGUUAAUUUCGUCCUCGGAGUGCUGCGUUUGGCCUGGUUUCUAUCCAGGAACAUUUAGUCUGAUCCAGAGAAGCUCUUUCCUAGGAAAAGUAAUCUGUGCUGACAAAAGACAGAUCUGAGGGAUAGAAAAGGCCUCUGUCUCUGCUCCCAGUAAUAAUGGGAAGUCUUUAUGUGACAAUUUUGGGGAAAAGCUGCAGGAGUUAAACAUGUGCCUUUAACUACACGUCCCCCUCCGCCAGAUAUCAUCCUGAUCAAUGACGCCGCCGCUCGGUGAGGAAUGACGUUAGCCGGAGACGCUGUAAAUGUUUUAGCUAUCAACACUGCUUCAUCCUCCGUCACACAACACCACGGACGAUCUUUCACUGACACUACACGGAGGCCUCGCCCUGGUUCAGUCCCAACACAUCUUCUCUCAUCAGUAAUUGCAGACGUCUGCUGGUGACGUGCGACUUCUGAGCAGUUCCUUCACUUCGGGCUCAUCUGUUUCGGUGAGGCGGGAGCGCUAAUUCAAUGAGAUGGUGGAGAAAUUUCCAAAUAGUGUUGUGACAGUUGAGCACGGCAGGAGGCCAGACUCUAGGCCGCCCCUUAGUGUGUUUACAUGCACUGUAAAAAUGUGAUUAAGACUGGAGGAGUGCAACACAAAUUAACAACUAUCUAUUAUGUAAACCAUUCAGAUCUAUUACAUGAAUGAAGCUUGUAAUCAGGGGAUGUAAAACUUGAUUAAAGGAGCACGAUUAAACAUCUCUUUCAUAUUCCUCCUGUCAAUUAAUCACUCUGUUAAUAGAGCAGUGUAAAGUAGUUUGACACAAGUGAUGGGUGUAAGGACAGCUCACUCUGCAAUAGAUCAGACAGUGUGUGAACUGGCAGCAUACAGCAGACCAGACUUAGCAGGAGUUAAGGAUUCAGUUCACACACAGUGGUGUACUCGAAAAGGGGGCUGGGGGGCUCACCGAUCUUCUUAAAUGCUACUUUGGUAAAUGAUGAUUAUUAAAACGCCCUCUCUAGUGCCUUCUUUGUGCAAAAUGCAUCAAAACAUACCACCUUAUCAAUAAAAAAAGGAAGCGGGUAGUAGCAAAACCUGGUCUUAUGAGAGGGCAUGCUAGACAGGGUGAAGCUGUCACAUCGUAUGUCUAGAAGUCACACAGCUGUAAAGUUGUCUGUGUCUUGCUAACGUGUUUGUCGAUUGUUUUGGUAAGCGAUAUAAUAGCUCAACCAGGGCAGCCCAAUAGAAAUGCUCCCACACUGCGCUCAGUCAAACCAACCACACUGUCUGGGCAGCGUCAUGUGGUUACAGCGACUGCUCUUAGUGGCAGUGCUGACUCAAACAAACGUCGACC
rnacentral:lncRNA from 1 species